rnacentral:rRNA from 1 species
UACAGAGGUCCCAAGCGUUGUUCGGAUUCACUGGGCGUAAAGGGUGCGUAGGUGGUGGGGUAAGUCGGAUGUGAAAUCUCCGAGCUCAACUCGGAAAUGGCAUUGGAAACUACCCUGCUAGAGGGUCGGAGGGGGGACUGGAAUGCUUGGUGUAGCAGUGAAAUGCGUAGAUAUCAAGCGGAACACCAGUGGCGAAGGCGAGUCCCUGGACGACUCCUGACACUGAGGCACGAAAGCUAGGGGAGCAAACAGGA